UUGAACUAGCUCACAAAGUAGAAGUAUCCUUAAUGUCUUUUCAUUAGCAAUGACCUACUGAUCUUAAGACUGGAUAUAAGGCUUAAUUGUGAUAUCCACUGGAUUUAUGAGCCAUAGAUUUCUGGCAACAUCUAGUGACUCAGUCCAGAUAUCCUCCAAGACCAUGGAAGAACUGAGCUUGCACCAGUGGACCCAGGGUUUCACCCUCUUGCCCAGCCUGAAGUGCAGUGGCGAGAUUAAGGCUCACUGCAAUCUCAACCUCCUGGGCUCAAGUGAUCCUCCCACUUCAGCCUCCUGAGUACCUGGGACCACAGAGAACAUAUCCCAGGUAGCCACAGCUCCUCCAGCCUGCAGUUCGGAAUGAGACACAUCAAUUAGACCUGCUACUGGAUCCAAGCCCUGUCAGUUCACAGUCUGAAGCAGAACUUCCCAGCUGACCCUCAGACGUGUGAGUAAAU
rnacentral:lncRNA from 1 species